rnacentral:rRNA from 1 species
AGUGAACGCUGGCGGUAGGCCUAACACAUGCCAGUCGAACGGCAGCACAGUAAGAGCUUGCUCUUACGGGUGGCGAGUGGCGGACGGGUGAGGAAUACAUCGGAAUCUACUUUUUCGUGGGGGAUAACGUAGGGAAACUUACGCUAAUACCGCAUACGACCUACGGGUGAAAGCAGGGGAUCUUCGGACCUUGCGCGAUUGAAUGAGCCGAUGUCGGAUUAGCUAGUUGGCGGGGUAAAGGCCCACCAAGGCGACGAUCCGUAGCUGGUCUGAGAGGAUAAUCAGCCACACUGGAACUGAGACACGGUCCAGACUCCUACGGGAGGCAGCAGUGGGGAAUAUUGGACAAUGGGCGCAAGCCUGAUCCAGCCAUACCGCGUGGGUGAAGAAGGCCUUCGGGUUGUAAAGCCCUUUUGUUGGGAAAGAAAAGCAGCAGGUUAAUACCCCGCUGUUCUGACGGUACCCAAAGAAUAAGCACCGGCUAACUUCGUG